rnacentral:rRNA from 1 species
ACAGCAGCAGCCACGGUAAUACGAAGGGGGCUAGCGUUGCUCGGAAUUACUGGGCGUAAAGGGAGCGUAGGCGGAUCGUUAAGUUGGGGGUGAAAGCCCGGGGCUCAACCUCGGAACUGCCUUCAAUACUGGCGAUCUUGAGUAUGAGAGAGGUGUGUGGAACUCCGAGUGUAGAGGUGAAAUUCAUAGAUAUUCGGAAGAACACCAGUGGCGAAGGCGACACACUGGCUCAUUACUGACGCUGAGGCUCGAAAGCGUGGGGAGCAAACAGGAUUAGAGACCCCUGUAGUCCCUGUCUCUUAUAC